rnacentral:rRNA from 1 species
CCUACGGGUGGCAGCAGUGAGGAAUAUUGGUCAAUGGUCGUGAGCCUGAACCAGCCAAGUCGCGUGCGGGAUGAAGGUUCUAUGGCUUGUAAACCUCUUUUAUACGGGAAUAAAGUGUGGGACGUGUCCUAUUUUGUAUGUACCUCAUGAAUAAGGAUCGGCUAACUCCGUGCCAGCAGCCGCGGUAAUACGGAGGAUCCGAGCGUUAUCCGGAUUUAUUGGGUUUAAAGGGUGCGUAGGCGGCCGUUUAAGCGUGCGGUGAAAGGCUGUGGCUCAACCAUGGAAUUGCGGUGGGAACUGGGUGGCUUGAGUAUGUUGAAGGCAGGCGGAAUGCGUGGUGUAGCGGUGAAAUGCUUAGAUAUCACGCAGAACCCCGAUUGCGAAGGCAGCCUGCCAAGCCGUGACUGACGCUGAUGCUCGAAAGCGUGGGGAUCGAACAGGAUUAGAUACCCGUGUAGUC